AGGCCCCUCAAACACACACUGCAGAUGGGGGCUCAGUCGGGGCCCCUUCCACAGACAGAGCCCUGGUCCCUCAAGGUGGAUAGUGAGGCUGCUGCUCCUCCAGCUGCCUCUGUCUCAUCACAGGCCAGAAGUGGAAAGGGUUUCAAACCCAAGCCCCGUGUUCCUGUGUGUGUUCUAUGCAGCAAGGCUUAAAAGUUUCAAACUGGUUUGGAACUCAACCAGGUCCUCCAAAGGAAACCAAGGCAGGCACAGGAUGGGGGCAGGCUGGCUUGGCAGGCAGCUGUGCCGAUCCACCCAGAGUGCCUUGGGAGGCAGUGGGGUUGGCUCUGGCUGCUGUUAGCUGCAGCCAGGCCUCUCCUGCGUCCCCAGGGUCUGGAAGGAGGGCUUCUGCAAAUUUUAUAAGCCAGCGACUGCGAAGGCCUGGAGCCCCACCUUCCACCCAUAACAAAGAAAGGGAUAGUUUCAGAACUGCUUUUAUUUGGAUAACUGACUGAAGGAGUCUCAUUUGUA